UCCGGUACACGUCUUCUUCUUUCAUUUUCUUGAAUGAUUCCUCAAGUUUAGUCCUGUUGGAAAUUCAUACCGGUUUAUAACAAUUUAUAAAUCAAGCUAUGAAUUCAGUUGUCUAGAAUCUCAUGUAAAUACUGAAAUAAAUCUAGAUCUUACGGUUUUGAAUAUACCUGGCUACUCGCAGCGGAAAGAUGAAUAAACCAAGUCGAGAUUUCAAGCACUCCAAACGUCGUGCCUCUAUCGGUAUCCACACGCACACAAACUGGAUCGAUACGGGAUGCUAGUGCCGUCGAGAUCAAAUCUCAAAGAAUUUGACAAACUCUUUUGUCGCUUCAAGUUUCGUUUUUGCGG
rnacentral:lncRNA from 1 species